rnacentral:rRNA from 1 species
AUGGGGACUCCACACAGCAAGCCAACGGAACAGACGACCUCAUCACAUGUACCUCCAGGCCCGAUGGAGGGGACAAAUGUUGACGACUCUAACGAAGGGAUCAUACCCGUAGCCGAUGAUGUUGACAAAAUUUACCCACGUAGUCUAGGAGUCCAUAUUACUCCCUCGGAACGGAUGAUAUUUGAGACCGAUGGUGAUAGCACAUAUGAUACACCAGGAGAUGUUGCAGGCCCGAUGGAGGGGACAAAUGUUGACGACUCUAACAAAGGGGUUAUACAUGUAGCCGACGAUGUUCACAAGAUUUACCCAAGUAGUCCAGGAGUCCAUAUUACUCCCUCGGCAUGGAUGAUACUUGAACAGACCGAUUGUGAAAGGACAUAUAUUCAUCAACCUUCCCAUCUGAUUACGGAUUCAUUGCCGGCUCUCAGUAAUCUGACAAAAGAACUAGCUAGCAUGCAACGUGAUAAAGAGGAAAAGAGGCCGCAGAAUGUUCCACACCAUCCUCUCAGUGAUAUCACUAAUGCUUAUCAACCAUCCUCUAUGGACCUUGACGAAAAAAGAGAGUUCAUAAAAUCUCGGAGGCGAGCUGCUUAUCGAAAGAAAAAAGAGGAGGCUACCGUCAAGCAACAAGAUGAAAAUCUGUCUGCCCUUACGAUAUCAGAUGUGCAAAAUGUUACCCUGUCCCCUCUCGGUGAUAUCACUGAUGGGUGUCAACCUACCUCGGUGGACCUUGACGAGAAAAAAGAGCAAAUAAAUGCUCGGAGGCGAGCUGCUUAUCGAAAGAAGAAAGAGGAGGCUACCGUCAAGCAACAAGAUGGAAAUUUGUCUUCCCUUACGAUAUCAGAUAUGCAAAAUGUACCCCUGUUACCUCUCGGUGACAUCACUAAUGGGUGUCAACCAACCUCGGUGGACCUUGACGAGAAAAAAGAGCAAAUAAAGGCUCGGAGGCGAGCUGCUUAUCGAAAGAAAAAAGAGGAGGCAGCCAGCAAGCAACAAGAUGAAAAUCUAGCUGCCCUUACGAAAUCAGAUAAAAAGUGA